CCGUGAAGUGGUCAAGUCUCGUAAUUUGCUUACACAAAUAAUAUAUAUCAAUUGUAAAACAGUGUUGGAAGCUCUCACUUGCAGCUAAUAGUUCGAGUCGCCAGGUGGAUGGUAUUAGCCACCACUAUGUGAUCAAGUGGCACGCAUCUCAGAUCAUAAACUGCUUGUAUUGCAGUGGCUCUCCGCCUUGCUGCUCCAAUCGGUGUAUUUGCUAGGAGGCGAAGGUUGAUAGGUACAGUGAACAUGGUCUGCUCUACCAAGGCACAGGGGGCUGGCACUCCAGGCACAGUGAAAUUAAUAUUAUUAAGAGGAGCCUUACCAUGGUUGGGUGUCCAGCAGAAAGUCUCCUCUAUAUCCUGCAACUCUGUCAAUGUUGUUGGUCGCAUAGAUGGAAUACCUUACUUACCUGGAAGUAAGAUUCCAGCUGCCUUGCUGUAGGAUUAAUGAAACGACUACAAUGUGAGUCAUAGACUGUCUCAGUUCUACAAUUGUCACCUCAUGUUGCAAGAAAGAGCAAUCAAGAUCUACUGUGUGUCUUGCAUAAGCCUUCUCACCGUCCAUAGGAUCUUCCCAAAAGUGGGUCCUCUGGUAUCUGUGCUUCACUGGAGAUGGUUGUUGCUCAACACUAUAAUCUGGUUCAGCAUAUGGCGCGUCAAACAGGCAAAGAUUCCAAUGUUUGCAGAACACCAGUGUCGAGCACCCUCACCCUAUAAUGUCAAACAAGGAUGCUGUCUACUGUCUGUCUUUUCCCUUGCACCUAAGACAGACAUAAACGCACGCACGGACACGCGUGCACACGCGAGAAGGGGUCGGUGACGUUCAAAGAGGAGCGUGAAACUCGAUACAUCAACAGGGGGACCCUCAAUUUGCAGGCGGGCGGACCAAGCAUGCAGGGGACAGCAGCGGCCGCCGCCCAGGAGUUGGUCAGGAAGCAGGCUACAGAUCAGGAGUAAGGCUGCAGGUCAAGAGCAAGGCUGCAGGUCAGGAGCAAGGCUGCAGGUCAAGAGAUAGACUGCAGGCCACGACGCAGGCUUCAGGUUACCUCCAGGAUAACGACCUCAUUGACGCAGGAGUGGCAGGCAGGUCCCAGGAAUUCGGGCACGGGUUAAGAUGAGGUGUUGACAAAGUGACAAAUGUGUGCGUGUUCAUUACAGCCCACAACCCUACCACUUGACAAGACGAGGAAGUGAAAAUAUGUGGAGAGAUAGAUAGGAGAGAGAGAGAGAGAGAGAGAGAGAGAGAGAGACCAUCACGCCAUGAUUACUCCACAGGGAGUACUAAUGAAGUCUGAUGGAAACUUUAACAACAUUAAAGUGAACUACUUAAUUACCAUGAUGAAAAGAGCCACUUCACCCUUCACACGUGAGUGUGAGCAGCUUUCUCUUCGCUUCAUGGUACACCAGCUGCUGUAACACCAACACCAGACGCUGUGACCUACAGCUGCUAACGAGGAUGAACUUUGCAUCGCUUGAGGGGACAUGAUCUAUAUAUACUAAAUAUUUAUGGGUAGGUCUCGUCCUGGACCCUCCAACCCCCGCCUGGACUCUACAACUCCCGCCUAGACUCUACAACUCCCGCCUAGACUCUACAACCCCCGCCUGGACUCUACAACCCCCGCCUGGACUCUAUAACCCCCGCCUGGACUCUACAACCCCCGCCUGGAUUCUACAAUCCCCGCCUGGACUCUACAACCCCCGCCUGGACUCUACAACCCCGCCUGGACUCUACAACCCCCGCUAGGACUCUAUAAACCCCGCCUGGACUCUACAACCCCCGCCUGGACUCUACAACCCCCGCCUGGACUCUACAACCCCCGCCUAGACUCUAUAACCCCCGCCUGAACUCUACAAUCCCCUCCCGUUCUCUCAAUCUUAAACCGUUUAUACAAAUCAAGAACAAAACUGCCCCUGAGGCACUCCACCUUGUAACGUCACUCCAGUCUGGCAAAUUACCAUUGUGAACUACCAUUUGUGCCCAGACAACCCGUUACCCAGCCAUCAUAGUACACGACCGUCUGAACAUAUGGAUAUGGAUAUGGAUUUGAUGUCCAAAUGGUUUGAAAAGGAUAGCCAUCUCAAACUCCAACACUGUGCUCGGAUACAACUUCAGCAGGCUACCUACCUUCACCCAGUACGUCUUCCAGAAGACAGCUAUGGCUAAGGGUUCCCCUGUCAAGGCUAUUCCGCUUCAGGCAAGUCUCACCCUACAUCAAGCUCCACCUGUACAAAAUGAACCAUGUGCUUGUGUUGUUUAAUGCAACCUUCGGUGAGAUUGAUACUACUGAUGUCUAUUACUCUAAUAUCACCGAAAAAAGAUUGACCAAACACUUACAAUUUCUAUGAACACCUGCCUGGAAUUUCUACUUAUUUGGUGACUAAAUGUUGCACUUAGUCUCAAUUUUUUGUUUCCAUGAAUUUAUUGAUAAUCAACAUUAAAUUGAUGAAUUAACAUUAAUUAUAAUAUUUCAAUAUUCAUGAAACGUCAAUGUUGUGACGUUGUGCCUAUGCAACCGUGCCAAGGAAGGCCAGGUGCACAGGCAGGUCCCGACUCACCUGUGGACUGUGAACUAUGUGGAGAGCCUCAUGUCCACUGCAGACGUGGCGUCACAAUAACGUGGCUGAAAUAUGUUGGCCAAACAACACUAAAAAGUGAAGGGACGACGACGUUUCCGUCCGUCCUGGACCAUUCUCAAAUCAAUUCCCUCAUGUCUGCUAUUCUGUAAUAAUGAAUUUUAUAAAUCAUGUUUAUUACAAAUAUUAUCAACCUAUCUAUAUAUAAAUAUCAAAUUACAGGGCAAUAUUAUUGAUAUAGCACAGUAACAGACACUCUCACCUCACUGUUCGAGCUCUUCAAAUGAUCAGAACAGAAAAAGGUAGCCGCCAUCUGCGCCAUUUAAAAAAAUAUGUUUUGACGAACGUUACUCAGCUCCACGGGUCUUGCUGUGACGCGCUACAACGUCGCAUUUAGACUUUACCCAAGGUCAAAAACUGUCGUACUAGAAAAUGGUAGCGGCUCGCGAAAUUGACGUAAUGUUCCGCUUUCUGUUCGUGGGUCCUCUGACAGGUUAGGAUCAGGCACUUUAGUAUGACAGUUUCUUGACGUUGGGAACGCUCGCGAGAACAGGUUAGAGUAUGACUCUUAAAGCAAUAAGAACAGUGUUCAGGCGACGGCGUCCUUAACGGUGUACGGUAACCCUCCCAGUACCAGGAGUCACAGACCACUGACGUCUCCUUAACAGUUAUUCAACAGUUUACAAGUUCCACAGGUCUAAGAUAUUUAUAUCUUAGUCAAGAUCCCCUUGGCACAACCGUGUAACACUUGAAAGUCAACACGGUGCAGUCAGUACAUAGCAAGUCACAAUGAGUAGAUCUUUUAAGUGCACUUGCAAGGACUUUGUAAAUCAUUAUCAGAAAACAAAGAUUGGUUUGUGACUCCUGGCUUAGGGUCUCCGUACGUGAACCAGAAAUUAGUACAUUACCACUUUGCUCAGUCUUCACUCUUCUAACAGCAGUACAGUUGUCUCCAGCAACCUGUGAAUAAAAUAUAAAUUUGUAAUUACUAA